rnacentral:sRNA from 1 species
AAAGCUUUUAACUAACAUUGAUUAUCAGCUGUUUUUACGGAAAACGUGGAAUCUAAAUAAUAUACGUUUCCCUGCUCUGCUGCUAUUGGCAACACAUUUUUGUCAUGUCAUCUGCAACAGACGAUCAUACAUAUGUGGCGGAUUAUCGAUAUAGAUACAACUAGGUAGCAAUAGCAGUGGAAGCCCGGAUUUGCAAGCCAAAUGAGGGAAAGACAGAAUUCUGAAAAGGAGCAUGUUUUUCAUUUCCACACAUGCAUGUGUAUCACUAUGGACAUCUAAUGUUUUUGUGGGAUUUUGUCCAGCAGUUUGCCUUAAAAUUUUUUUUUUAUAUUUUAGUUUCAUAUUUAUGUGGAUUCCAAUAAAAAUCAUACAAACUUC